UGCUUAGGGAUGCCCUGGACGU
rnacentral:misc_RNA from 1 species